rnacentral:rRNA from 1 species
CGAGCGUUGUCCGGAAUUAUUGGGCGUAAAGAGCUCGUAGGCGGCUUGUCGCGUCGGAUGUGAAAGCCCGGGGCUUAACUCCGGGUCUGCAUUCGAUACGGGCAGGCUAGAGUUCGGUAGGGGAGAUCGGAAUUCCUGGUGUAGCGGUGAAAUGCGCAGAUAUCAGGAGGAACACCGGUGGCGAAGGCGGAUCUCUGGGCCGAUACUGACGCUGAGGAGCGAAAGCGUGGGGAGCGAACAGG